rnacentral:rRNA from 1 species
AUGCAGUCGAACGAUGAUCCCCAGCUUGCUGGGGGGAUUAGUGGCGAACGGGUGAGUAACACGUGAGUAACCUGCCCCCGACUCUGGGAUAAGCCCGGGAAACUGGGUCUAAUACCGGAUAUUCACUUCCUUCCGCAUGGAGGGUGGUGGAAAGGUCUUUUCCGGUCGGGGAUGGACUCGCGGCCUAUCAGCUUGUUGGUGGGGUAGUGGCCCACCAAGGCGACGACGGGUAGCCGGCCUGAGAGGGUGACCGGCCACACUGGGACUGAGACACGGCCCAGACUCCUACGGGAGGCAGCAGUGGGGAAUAUUGCACAAUGGGCGCAAGCCUGAUGCAGCGACGCCGCGUGAGGGAUGACGGCCUUCGGGUUGUAAACCUCUUUCAGUAGGGAAGAAGCGAAAGUGACGGUACCUGCAGAAGAAGCGCCGGCUAACUACGUGCCAGCAGCCGCGGUAAUACGUAGGGCGCAAGCGUUAUCCGGAAUUAUUGGGCGUAAAGAGCUCGUAGGCGGUUUGUCGCGUCUGCCGUGAAAGUCCGGGGCUCAACCCCGGAUCUGCGGUGGGUACGGGCAGACUUGAGUGCAGUAGGGGAGACUGGAAUUCCUGGUGUAGCGGUGAAAUGCGCAGAUAUCAGGAGGAACACCGAUGGCGAAGGCAGGUCUCUGGGCUGUAACUGACGCUGAGGAGCGAAAGCAUGGGG